CUUUGUUCUUCCGCGAGCUAAUGUCAUGAAGCUGAGAGAUCGUCUCAGAAAUGAAGAAGUUGCUGCAGGUUUAUUCCUUUGCGGAACCAAAAAUGGCCUAACAUAUUGUCGUGAGUCUAUGGCACGCCGUGCAGAGCAGGUAUUGAGACUGGACAAAUUGGUCUCAGAUUGGUUAGCAAGGGUGAUAGGUUGACAACUGUUGCCAGAGAAUGGAAUAUAGGUUUUGCCUGCUUCACGGAUGGAAGGUAUACACUACCAGUAAAGGAACACGGUGGUAUAUUGUGACAGUUACUUUUAGAUGCUGAGUUAGGUGAGGCUACCUCUUAUGUUGAUGGAGAUUAUGAUGGAUGUCAAAAUGGCUUACCACUCCAUGGGACUAAUUGCAUAUGGAAGGAACCGGUGUUUGGGCUGGCAUUAGGUCACCGGUAGAUUUGGAUGCAUUCGGAAGGUCUGAUAGUGAAGUUGGAGAUUCCAAUUGCCAAAUAAUGGAUGCUUAUCAGUUGGACAGGGGACCUAUAUAUUUUUAUACUUGUUUUGU